GAUACCACCAGUUCUAAUGGUGGGCGGGCCUUUAACUUCUCUCUGUGUCCUUAAAUUUUCUGCCUCUUAUUGGAUUAGGCUACAAGCUGCGAGUUUAGGAAAACCGAAGCGUCGAACCUGGCAAGGACUGGCGAAACCAACUGAGAGUACGGUAGAAGGGCCGGGAGAAGAGGCAGUUUGUCUGCUGAAGGCGCCGCUCCUGCGGAGGCUCCUGGAGGGAGCCGGAGCCGCUUUUCCUGCUUCUACCCUUCGCAGGUCAGAAGCAGCUGGAUCCACUCUUCUGCCUUUGCCCAGGUUGCGGGUCCUUCGGAGAACGGUGGCUUCACGCGCAGAAUCCCCAAGGCUCAGCUUUUGUGGCUAUGUUAGAAUGAUUCGGGGCACUGAAAUCUAAUUUUUAAAAAAAUCUUUUUUUUUUUUUUUGCUGUGAACCUUGGAGCUUGGUAUAAAUAUCCAGUGACGAAUUGUACAAGAUAUUAGGUACUGAAAGUUCCCACCUCCUCACCAGUACCAAAAUAAAUUAAUUAAAAAGUAAAAUCUGCCCGGUGCGAAGGGGGACAUACCUGUAACCCCAGCGACUUGGGAGGCCGAGGCAGGAAAAUUGCAGUUUCUAGAUCCUCAGCAAUUUAGCAACACCCUGUCUCAAAAAGGGCUGGGAUAUAGCUCAAAGAUGAAGCGCCCCUGGGUUUAAUCCCCAGUUCAAAAAAAAAAAAAAAAAAAUCAGACCGGUAAGUAAGCAAUUUGUCGUGUUAUUUUGCCCUGAGGACGGGAAAGGGAAGGACCUCUUUCUGUCUUCUUCCUCUCGCCCUCACACACAACCUUUUCAUUCUCAGCUUUACAUAUCUAAUGUUAUUGUCAGGUCUAAGACCAGAACCCUGGUCUGUAACUCAGAUUCUUUUCCAAAAUUUAUUCAAAUGUGUGACUCACUUUGAGGUGAAUUUAACCUAACAAUAAAGUAGCUAGUAUAGUGUGGCUGGAGUAGAGCAUUUGUGAGAAGAAAUAAUAAGAAUACAAAAAAAAAAAAAUUUAAAUGUAGUAAUGAUAGGAACUUGGGGUACAGCAUUUGCCUAGAAUACACAAAACCCUGGGUUUGGUGUCCAGCAACGUGCAGACACGAUUUAAAUAUAAGAAUUAUGUGAGUUUGAUUUAGAGUUAAUUUUAAAAAAUCAUUUUAUGGGGCUG
rnacentral:lncRNA from 1 species